CACACGACUCUCGGCAACGGA
rnacentral:rRNA from 8 species